ensembl:lncRNA
AACUCAGAGAGAUGGGCAGAUGUUUGUCUGGAUGGAUGAUAACCCUCCGGCUGCGCACACACACAGACUCUUAUGUUUUGCUCCGAGGCAACUGAUGUACUCAAUGGCAGUUAAUUCUUCCUAGAGCAACAUGAAAAAGAAAACACCUUGAGAUGGAGAUUUACAUGCAGAGUUUAGAGUGGAAUGCUCUAAACAGGUCUUGUAAGAUAACGAAGAGACCAGGAUUGAACAGAGGAGGAAACUGAUCAGUGAAGCAGUUUCAACAAAGACUCCAGCCAAUCACAGGGGACACUCAAUGGCACCAUAGAGCUGUCUUGAAAUGAGGAUGGAAGAGGAGACUGAUCACCUCCUGGAGUUUACUGAGUAAUCUGACAUAGAUUGAGUCAGAGAAACCCUACAACCUCAAGCGGAAUGUGGGAGUGGCUUGCAGUGAGAAUGGCUCACAAGAGGUGUACUGAAUAAUUGAAACUCAGACAAGGUUGGCUGACACCUACACCCAGGUUGAAAAAAACUGGAAUGGGGAAGUGCAUGUGUCCAUGUGGAUAAAUGAAGUGAAGAAAAACAGGGGAAGUGCCAGAGAGUACCAGAGGAACACUGAUUCAAGGUUACUUGGAGGUACAUUGGCAGCCAGCCAAACUUAAAGUGUAACAAUCUGAGAACAAAAAAAAAAGAGGGAGAGAGAGAAAAGAAAAGAAAACAGGACACUUUAAAAUCCAAAGAACUGCUGCCAAGUUUGUUAUAGAAGCUUUAUAGUAAGUGAGAUGGAGAAAAAAUAUGAAAAGGCUAUGAGAUAUACUUUUGAUAUGGGAGGAUUUUGUAUGAUAAAAGUUUUGUCUUGCUAGAAAGAUAAAAAGAGGGAUAAUGACAAAAUGGGAAAGCUCACAUAUAUCAAGGGAAAGUUUGUGGAAGUAGUUUAUCAAAAGAAAUAUGUGUGGUUGCUUGUUAGUUUGGUGGAACUCAGUUUCUGAAGUGAAAGUGCUUGAAAGAGUGAUUUGUAUUUCAAUACAGUAGAUAUGGGAGGACAAGGCUUGAAAACCAAACCAUUAGAAUGUAUGUUAAAGAAACUUUAAAAGAGGCUAUACAGGGUACUAUGGAGUAAAGUUUACCCUCCAGAGGUUGAAAACUCUUUGUGAAAAAGAUUGGCCCUCUUUUGAUGUAGGGUGGUUGGCCAAGGGGACAACUGACAGGGGGACAAUUGGGCAUGUACAUAGAGUGAUAACUGAGGAUGGAGAAUGGCCAGAGCACCCAGAUCAGUUUCCCUGCAUCAAGUGAUGGUUAAAUAUAGUCCCGGCAUGGCCCAUCGGGUUACAGCCCUACCUGGAGACAUAUUGUAAAAUGUUUCUAGCCUGAGCCAUGCCUCAGACAAAAGGAAAAGAGGAAUCAGCCUUACUGGGAAGCUCAGCAACAAAAGAAAGACAGCAAAAGGGGCAAGAGAAACAGGUUUUGCAAGAGCUGCCAAAUGAGUCAGAGACUGCAGGAGACCAGCUUGAAACUGUGCUGGGGAGGCUAUAAAAUAUUAUUGAAUUGGCUUAUGAAUUAGCUAUUAAUUAAAUUGUGUCUGUCCUAGGCCUACAUGACUUGCAAAUGAGCCUUUGGCUGGCCUACAGAAACAGAACUCCUGAUGCCAGUGGUCACAAUUGAGAUCUCAGUGGUCAGUGAUAUUGUGGCACCUCUGAUAGCAACAUGACACUGCAGCUGGAGACUUUUUGACUCUUUGCAGCCAUUUUCCUCAAACAAAUGUUAGCUAUAAAAACUCAGGUUACUCAUUAAUAAUGACCUGUCUUUCACACGAACACAUUGUUCCUCCCUUUUACAUACCUGGCUUGCAUCAGUGCCUUACCCUCUACUGUUCCCUGCAUUUGCCUUUAUACUCUGUGCAGUGUUGUGUGAUCAAUAAAUACUGGCAAGUCUGGAGCCUUGUGAUUUUAGCUUUGCAGAGCUCUGAUGGUCCCAGACCCCUGUUUAUACAAA